UACGUAGGGGGCAAGCGUUGUCCGGAUUUAUUGGGCGUAAAGAGCUCGUAGGUGGUUCGGUAAGUCGGAUGUGAAAUCUCCAGGCUCAACCUGGAGGGGUCAUUCGAUACUGCCGUGACUAGAGUUCGGUAGGGGAGUGUGGAAUUCCUGGUGGAGCGGUGAAAUGCGCAGAUAUCAGGAGGAACACCCGUAGCGAAGGCGGCUCACUGGACCGGUACUGACGCUGAUGCGCGAAAGCGUGGGGAGCAAACGGG
rnacentral:rRNA from 1 species